CCUACGGGUGGCAGCAGUGGGGGAUAUUGCACAAUGGGGGAAACCCUGAUGCAGCGACGCCGCGUGUGGGAAGACGGUCUUCUGGAUUGUAAACCACUGUCCCCAGGGACGAAAAUGACGGUACCUGGGGAGGACGCUCCGGCUAACUACGUGCCAGCAGCCGCGGUAAUACGUAGGGAGCAAGCGUUGUCCGGAAUUACUGGGUGUAAAGGGAGCGUAGGCGGGGAUGCAAGUUGGGUGUCAAAACUACCGGCUCAACCGAUAGUCGCACUCAAAACUGCAGCUCUUGAGUGAAGUAGAGGCAGGCGGAAUUCCUAGUGUAGCGGUGAAAUGCGUAGAUAUUAGGAAGAACACCAGUGGCGAAGGCGGCUUGCUGGACUGAAACUGACGCUGAGGCACGAAAGCGUGGGGAGCGAACAGGAUUAGAUACCCGGGUAGUC
rnacentral:rRNA from 1 species